rnacentral:lncRNA from 1 species
AUGGAGGUGGGCGGGACUGGAAAGGAUGCUCACGUCUCGGCUCUCCAGGCCUUCACGGGAGACCCCGAUGAACCAGCUAGGCUUACUGGGGACCAACAGCAGGAGUGGGCCGGGCCGGACUUGGGGGCCGAGGGGGGUCACGCAGAGGGGAGGGGACCACAGGUCUGGGAUAGGGGAAAAGGGGACCGAGGGAGUCAGAGGGGAGAGGGAAAGGAGAAAGCAAGAAGGAAAGCCAGAGCGAGCCGGCCGCGGAGGGUGAGCGCGAGGAGGAGAUGGGGACGGACGGGGGGCGACAGGAGGGAAGGACCGCCCGGGGAAGUUGAACUCGGGGCUGGGGCGAGAGGCCCAGGUCCUAUUGGGACAAGCCGGGCCGGGGCUGGGGGAUCGGCCCCGAGGGUCGGCGGUCACUCACCGUGCGGCGGCAGCGGCGACGCUCCGGGCGGCCCCGGCCAUCCAGCUGCUGCGCCGCCCCGCCCCGGCUCGGCCCCGCCCGGCUCGGCCGCCGGCCCCCGGCCCGGAGCCGCCCCCGGCGCGCGGCCACGUCACACGGGACCUGCCCGGAACCCUCGACGCCGCGCGUCGCGGGGCCUGGCGGAGCGGCGGUCGGGGCGCGCUUCCGCCUCCCGGCCAUGGGGGACCCGGGCGGCGGGCGCACUUCCGCUCGGGCCGGCCUCGGGGCGGCGCGGAGGGCCGGGCGGAAGUGGGAGCCCGGCGGGCACCGCGCUCAGCCGGGCUGGGCAGGGCGGAGGCGGCGGCCGCGCAGGGACCGCUAGCGGCCGGGUGGCUGGGCCUGCGGGUCCGGCCGCCGCUUCCCGUCUCGGGCUGCAGUGCCGCCCGCGGCCGCGCGGGGGCGCGCUCGGCUGCCGGACAGCGCCGCCCUGGGCCGAGCCGGGCCGGGGUUCGGGUGGAGCAUGGCUGCGGCGCUCCUGCUCUGAGUCAGCCGUGCCUGGCUCCUCCAUGAACAAGGGAAAGGGGAAGUGCCUGCCGCAGGGAGGGGCCUAG